rnacentral:rRNA from 1 species
GCCUCAGUAACGGCGAGUGAAGCGGCAAAAGCUCAAAUUUGAAAUCUGAGGCUUUCAGCCCCCGAGUUGUAAUUUGAAGAUGGUGUUCUGGCGCCGGCCCCCUGUCUACGUUCCUUGGAACAGGACAUCACAGAGGGUGAGAAUCCCGUCUGGCGGGGCGGCCUGGCUCCGUGUAGAGCGCCAUCGACGAGUCGAGUUGUUUGGGAAUGCAGCUCUAAGUGGGUGGUAAAUUCCAUCUAAAGCUAAAUAUUGGCGAGAGACCGAUAGCGAACAAGUACAGUGAUGGAAAGAUGAAAAGAACUUUGAAAAGAGAGUGAAAAAGUACGUGAAAUUGUUGAAAGGGAAGGGUAUUGGAUCAGACUUGGUGCUGUGCGAAUAGCGGCUCUUCUUGGGCCGCCCACUCGCACUCCACCGGGCCAGCAUCGGUUUGGGCGGCAAGACAAUGGCGGGGGAACGUGGCACUGCUCUCGGGCAGUGUGUUUAUAGCCCCCGCUGAUGUUGCCUGCCUAGACCGAGGACUGCGGCUUCUGCCUAGGAUGCUGGCGUAAUGAUCCAACACCGCCCGUCUUGAAACAUGGACCAAGGAGUCUAACGUCUAUGCGAGUGUUUGGGUGUAAAACCCGUACGCGUAAUGAAAGUGAACGUAGGUGAGGGCCCUU